GGACACCCCUCCCGGCUUCUCAAACACAAGCCUCCCAGGCCUUAGGACAAUGGCAGAGGAGUGGCGCCCUCCAGCUUUCUUACCAGAAGUCUUUUUGGUGCCAGGAAAAAUGAGCUCCUGUUGACAAGGAGGAGGAAGGAGAGGAAGAAUAGCAGCUGUGGCAGUGGCAUCAUAACCUGGAGGUAAUAGUGGUUUUUUCUAAAGCCCAGCUAAAUACCUGUUGUAUGACAGCCCUCAGGGCCUGAGGGGUGAAUGCCCCAUCCUAAGAUUAAAGGGAGAGAAAGAAGCUCUGGCCCCCAGCCCAAACCAACGAGGAACAAGCAAUGGGCAUGAGAUGGCAGCUCCCCUAGAUUGGCAAUGGCUUUCUGGACCCUUUGCUGUGCUCGCCUAGCUGCCAAAAGAGUCAUCUAAUCUGUGCACUUGGGCUUUAGCGCUAGCAGGUUGUGAGUUCAAAUCCUAUCUCAGCUGCUCACUGGCUGUGCAGCUGCUCAAGAAAAGUUGCAAGACGUUCAUCAAAG
rnacentral:lncRNA from 1 species